AAAAGCAAAUAAGGGCGUAUGGCGGAUGCCUAGGCUCACGGAGGCGAUGAAGGACGUGAUAAGCUGCGAUAAGCCGCGGUUAGGUGCAAAUGACCCUUGACCCGCGGAUUUCCGAAUGGGACAACCCGGCCGCCUUACGGCGGUCAUCAUGACAGAGUCAUGAGGCGAACGCGGGGAACUGAAACAUCUUAGUACCCGCAGGAAGAGAAAAUAAGUCAAUGAUUCCCCCAGUAGUGGCGAGCGACCGGGGAAGAGCCCAAACCGGGUGUGUCGAGGCACAUCCGGGGUUGUAGGACCGCGCUGUUGUACGAGCAUGAGCGAGCGUGACCGUCUGGAAAGUCGGGCCGUAGCGGGUGAGAGCCCCCUUCGCGAAGUUCAUGCCGGCAUAGCGGUAUCCUGAGUAACGCGGGACACGAGGAAUCCUGCGCGAAUCCGCCGGGACCAUCCGGCAAGGCUAAAUACUCCCGUGAGACCGAUAGUGGACCAGUACCGUGAGGGAAAGGUGAAAAGAACUCCGACGAGGAGAGUGAAAUAGCCCCUGAAACCAUACGCCUACAAGCGGUCGGAGCAUGCGUAGCAUGUGACGGCGUGCCUUUUGCAUAAUGAACCUACGAGUUGCCGUCACGGGCAAGGUUAAGCGCCUAAGGCGCCGAGCCGCAGUGAAAGCGAGCCUGAAUAGGGCGCAGAGUCCGUGGAGGCAGACGCGAAACCGAGUGAUCUACACUUGUCCAGGAUGAAGUCCCGGUAACACGGGAUGGAGGUCCGCACCGAUAAGCGUUGAAAAGCUUCCGGAUGAGGUGAGUGUAGGAGUGAAAGGCCAAUCAAACUCGGAGAUAGCUCGUACUCCCCGAAAUGCAUUUAGGUGCAGCGUUCCGCGAUAGCGUCAAGAGGUAGAGCGACCGAUAGGAUGCGAGGGCUUCACCGCCUAUCAAGUCCUGACGAACUCCGAAUGCUUGACGCCUGCAGCGGGGCAGCAAGGGGGCGGGUGCUAAGGUCCGUCCCCGAGAGGAGAAGAAUCCAGACCGCCGUCUAAGGUCCCGGAAUUCUGCCUGAGUUAGUCUAACGAAGUGAGGUCCCUGAGACAGCCAGGAUGUUGGCUUGGAAGCAGCCAUUCAUUCAAAGAGUGCGUAACAGCUCACUGGUCGAGGGUCCUUGCGUGGAUAAUAAUCGGGUAUAAGGCAGAUACCGAAGGCGCGGGAUAGUAAUAAUAAAAGUAUCGGUAGGGGAGCAUUCCAUGUGCGUCGAAUGUUCAUGGUGACGUGAGCUGGAGCGCAUGGAAAAGCAAAUGUAGGUAUAAGUAACGACAAGGAGGGCGAGAACCCCUCCCGCCGCAAGACCAAGGUUUCCCGGGCAAUGCCAGUCAUCCCGGGGUCAGUCGGGUCCUAAGUCUAAGCCGAACGGCGAGGGCGAUGGCAGAAACGGUUAAUAUUCCGUUACUGCCUGUGCGAGCGAUGUGGAGACGGAGAAGUGGAACCGCCGCGGGGUGACGGAAGUCCCCGUUGAAGGGCGUAGGUUAUGAGGUGUGCAGGCAAAUCCGCAUUCCGAGCCGACCCUGACAGUACUCCGGCGCCUCCGGGCAACGGAGAUAGUGCGGGUAAUCAUGCUCCCGAGAAAAUCCGCUAAGCAAUCGCACAGGCACCCGUACCGCAAACGGACACACGUAGUCGGGUAGAAUAUACUAAGGCGUUGAGAGACUCAUGGUUAAGGAACUAGGCAAACUGACCCCGUAACUUCGGGAAAAGGGGUCCUCACGUAUAGUGAGGCGCAGAGAAUAGGUCCAGGCAACUGUUUAACAAAAACACAGGGCUGUGCGAACUCGAAAGAUGAAGUAUACAGCCUGACACCUGCCCGGUGCCGGAAGGUUAAGAGGAGAGCUCAGGAGCAAUCCGAAGGUUUGAAUUGAAGCCCCGGUAAACGGCGGCCGUAACUAUAACGGUCCUAAGGUAGCGAAAUUCCUUGUCGGG
rnacentral:rRNA from 1 species